GACGAGCGCUGGCGGCGUGCUUAACACAUGCAAGUCGAACGGAAAGGCCCUGCUUUUGUGGGGUGCUCGAGUGGCGAACGGGGGAGUAACACGUGAGUAACCUGCCCUUGACUUUGGGAUAACUUCAGGAAACUGGGGCUAAUACCGGAUAUGAGCUCCUGCUGCAUGGUGGUGGUUGGAGAGUGUCGGCUGUGGGGUAUGGACUCGCUGCUUAUCAGCUUGUUGGGGGGGUAGUGGCUUACCAAGGCUUUGACGGGUAGCCGGCCUGAGAGGGUGACCGGCGACAUUGGGACUGCGAUACGGAGCAGACUCCUACGGGAGGCAGAAGGGGGGAAUAUUGCACAAUGGGCGGAAGCGUGAUGCAGAAACGCCGCGUGCGGGAUGAUGGCCUUCGGGUUGUAAACAGAUUUCGAAUGUGACGAAGCGUGAGUGACGGUAAUGGGUAAAGAAGCACCGGCUAACUACGUG
rnacentral:rRNA from 1 species